rnacentral:rRNA from 1 species
GUGGGGAAUUUUGGACAAUGGACGCAAGUCUGAUCCAGCCAUGCCGCGUGCGGGAAGAAGGCCUUCGGGUUGUAAACCGCUUUUGUCAGGGAAGAAAAGCUCCGAACUAAUAUUUUGGGGUGAUGACGGUACCUGAAGAAUAAGCACCGGCUAACUACGUGCCAGCAGCCGCGGUAAUACGUAGGGUGCAAGCGUUAAUCGGAAUUACUGGGCGUAAAGCGUGCGCAGGCGGUUCUAUAAGACAGAUGUGAAAUCCCCGGGCUCAACCUGGGAACUGCAUUUGUGACUGUAGAGCUGGAGUGCGGCAGAGGGGGAUGGAAUUCCGCGUGUAGCAGUGAAAUGCGUAGAUAUGCGGAGGAACACCGAUGGCGAAGGCAAUCCCCUGGGCCUGCACUGACGCUCAUGCACGAAAGCGUGGGGAGCAAACAGGAUUAGAUACCCUUGUAGUCC